rnacentral:rRNA from 1 species
UACGUAGGGUGCGAGCGUUAAUCGGAAUUACUGGGCGUAAAGUGUGCGCAGGCGGCCGAGCAAGUCGAGUGUGAAAGCCCCGAGCUUAACUUGGGAACUGCGCUCGAAACUACUUGGCUAGAGUGUGGCAGAGGGAGGUGGAAUUCCACGUGUAGCGGUGAAAUGCGUAGAGAUGUGGAGGAACACCGAUGGCGAAGGCAGCCUCCUGGGCCAACACUGACGCUCAUGCACGAAAGCGCGGGGAGCAAACAGG